UUUAUGGAGAGUUUGAUCCUGGCUCAGGAUGAACGCUGGCGGCGUGCCUAAUACAUGCAAGUCGAGCGAACGGACGAGAAGCUUGCUUCUCUGAUGUUAGCGGCGGACGGGUGAGUAACACGUGGAUAACCUACCUAUAAGACUGGGAUAACUUCGGGAAACCGGAGCUAAUACCGGAUAAUAUUUUGAACCGCAUGGUUCAAAAGUGAAAGACGGUCUUGCUGUCACUUAUAGAUGGAUCCGCGCUGCAUUAGCUAGUUGGUAAGGUAACGGCUUACCAAGGCAACGAUGCAUAGCCGACCUGAGAGGGUGAUCGGCCACACUGGAACUGAGACACGGUCCAGACUCCUACGGGAGGCAGCAGUAGGGAAUCUUCCGCAAUGGGCGAAAGCCUGACGGAGCAACGCCGCGUGAGUGAUGAAGGUCUUCGGAUCGUAAAACUCUGUUAUUAGGGAAGAACAUAUGUGUAAGUAACUGUGCACAUCUUGACGGUACCUAAUCAGAAAGCCACGGCUAACUACGUGCCAGCAGCCGCGGUAAUACGUAGGUGGCAAGCGUUAUCCGGAAUUAUUGGGCGUAAAGCGCGCGUAGGCGGUUUUUUAAGUCUGAUGUGAAAGCCCACGGCUCAACCGUGGAGGGUCAUUGGAAACUGGAAAACUUGAGUGCAGAAGAGGAAAGUGGAAUUCCAUGUGUAGCGGUGAAAUGCGCAGAGAUAUGGAGGAACACCAGUGGCGAAGGCGACUUUCUGGUCUGUAACUGACGCUGAUGUGCGAAAGCGUGGGGAUCAAACAGGAUUAGAUACCCUGGUAGUCCACGCCGUAAACGAUGAGUGCUAAGUGUUAGGGGGUUUCCGCCCCUUAGUGCUGCAGCUAACGCAUUAAGCACUCCGCCUGGGGGAGUACGACCGCAAGGUUGAAACUCAAAGGAAUUGACGGGGGACCCGCACAAGCGGUGGAGCAUGUGGUUUAAUUCGAAGCAACGCGAAGAACCUUACCAAAUCUUGACAUCCUUUGACAACUCUAGAGAUAGAGCCUUCCCCUUCGGGGGACAAAGUGACAGGUGGUGCAUGGUUGUCGUCAGCUCGUGUCGUGAGAUGUUGGGUUAAGUCCCGCAACGAGCGCAACCCUUAAGCUUAGUUGCCAUCAUUAAGUUGGGCACUCUAAGUUGACUGCCGGUGACAAACCGGAGGAAGGUGGGGAUGACGUCAAAUCAUCAUGCCCCUUAUGAUUUGGGCUACACACGUGCUACAAUGGACAAUACAAAGGGCAGCGAAACCGCGAGGUCAAGCAAAUCCCAUAAAGUUGUUCUCAGUUCGGAUUGUAGUCUGCAACUCGACUACAUGAAGCUGGAAUCGCUAGUAAUCGUAGAUCAGCAUGCUACGGUGAAUACGUUCCCGGGUCUUGUACACACCGCCCGUCACACCACGAGAGUUUGUAACACCCGAAGCCGGUGGAGUAACCUUUUAGGAGCUAGCCGUCGAAGGUGGGACAAAUGAUUGGGGUGAAGUCGUAACAAGGUAGCCGUAUCGGAAGGUGCGGCUGGAUCACCUCCUUUCU
rnacentral:rRNA from 1 species